GCGCUUACCACUUUGUGAUCCAUGACUGGGGUGAAGUCGUAACAAGGUAACCGUAGGGGAACCUGCGGUUGGAUCACCUCCUUACC
rnacentral:rRNA from 1 species